rnacentral:rRNA from 1 species
UACGAAGGGGGCUAGCGUUGUGCGGAAUUACUGGGCGUAAAGCGCGCGUAGGCGGCUUUGUAAGUUAGAGGUGAAAGCCCGGGGCUCAACCCCGGAAUUGCCUUUAAGACUGCAUCGCUUGAAUCCGGGAGAGGUGAGUGGAAUUCCGAGUGUAGAGGUGAAAUUCGUAGAUAUUCGGAAGAACACCAGUGGCGAAGGCGGCUCACUGGACCGGCAUUGACGCUGAGGUGCGAAAGCGUGGGGAGCAAACAGG